CUCCUACGGGAGGCAGCAGUGGGGAAUAUUGCACAAUGGGGGAAACCCUGAUGCAGCCAUGCCGCGUGUGUGAAGAAGGCCUUCGGGUUGUAAAGCACUUUCAGUAGGGAGGAAGGUAGUGUAGUUAACACCUGCAUUAUUUGACGUUACCUACAGAAGAAGCACCGGCUAACUCCGUGCCAGCAGCCGCGGUAAUACGGAGGGUGCGAGCGUUAAUCGGAAUUACUGGGCGUAAAGCGCAUGCAGGCGGCCUGUUAAGUCAGAUGUGAAAGCCCGGGGCUUAACCUCGGAAUUGCAUUUGAAACUGGCAGGCUAGAGUCUUGUAGAGGGGGUAGAAUUUCAGGUGUAGCGGUGAAAUGCGUAGAGAUCUGAAGGAAUACCAGUGGCGAAGGCGGCCCCCUCGGACAAAGACUGACGCUCAGAUGCGAAAGCGUGGGGAGCAAACAGGAUUAGACACCCUCGGUAG
rnacentral:rRNA from 1 species